GGCAAUCAGCAGAGUGGCGCAGCGGAAGCGUGCUGGGCCCAUAACCCAGAGGUCGAUGGAUCGAAACCAUCCUCUGCUAAAACUUUU
rnacentral:tRNA from 1 species